AAGCUCGUAGUUGAAUUUCCGGUCUGGCUGGGUGGUCUUGCCGCAAGGUAAGCACUGCUCUGGUUGGGUCUUUCCUUCUGGGGAACCAGCGUGCUCUUAAUUGAGUGCACUGGGGAUCCAGGACUUUUACUUUGAAAAAAUUAGAGUGUUUAAAGCAGGCUUACGCUUGAAUACAUUAGCAUGGAAUAAUAGAAUAGGACUUUGGUUCUAUUUUGUUGGUUUCUAGGACCGAAGUAAUGAUUAAUAGGGAUAGUUGGGGGCAUUAGUAUUUAAUUGUCAGAGGUGAAAUUCUUGGAUUUAUGAAAGACUAACUUCUGCGAAAGCAUUUGCCAAGGAUGUUUUCAUUAAUCAAGAACGAAAGUUAGGGGAUCGAAGACGAUCAGAUACCGUCGUAGUCUUAACCAUAAACUAUGCCGACUAGGGAUCGGACGAUGUUAUUUUAUUGACUCGUUCGGCGCCUUAUGAGAAAUCAAAGUUUUU
rnacentral:rRNA from 1 species